GGGCACGUAGCUCAAUGGCGGAGCGCGUUUCUUAUAAAAACGAGGGUGUUGGUUCGAGUCCAACCGUGCCCACAA
rnacentral:tRNA from 2 species